rnacentral:lncRNA from 1 species
UACAGGAGAGCGAAAGAAAGUCGUGUAGUGGUGUUCAAUCUUCAAACACAAUGUGUUUCAGAAACACCUGUAAGACGUCAGAGAAGUGGUGAAGCUGAUGUAAUUGUGAGCACAGCAUCCUUGCGUCAGCUUAACUUUGUAUUUGACGAGUCCUCUCAUGAUGUUGUGAACGAUGUGACAGUGCAGCAUAUUUUCCAAGAGGCCGUGAAUAUCAAAUGCACUCCAGAUCCUGAUCUUCUCAUUUUGAGAUUGCUCGGUGAGGGAUCUAGUCACCUCCACGUAAAGUUUUGUGGACAGCAUGUUCUGGAUGUGGUAUUUGUAGCAGACAUCAACACUGCAAGUUCAUCUUCUGUACCACAAACUAUGGAGUGCAGUGCAAGCUCGUCUAACAAGAGUGAAUGUACCACUAUGACUGAUGAUGUGAUGAGGAAAGAAGUUUUUGCAGAAGUUCAAACUGAAGAGUCAAACAGAAGAGAAGGAUGAAGGAUAUGAAGAAAAGCAAGAAGGUUCUAGUACUUCAGAAGGCUCUGUCGGAAAACUAAUGCAGGAAAGAAGAGAAGUAGUGCUUGGAGAUGUGACUGAAGAGUGUUGGAAAAGUUUUCAAAAGAGUGUGAAGGGAAAGAGGAAGAAGUAAUGUGUAUUUGUGGAGUUUAGUACAAUUUGUAAUUUAAGUGUUUAGGUAGUUACUUCAGACAACUAUAAUGUUUUAGAUGAAAAAGUUAAAAAGCAGUGAUUUCUUUCUUUUAUCACAAUAAUGAAUUAAUCGGUCACAUUGUAAUUGUAGAAUAUGACAGACAUUUAUCAUUUGGUCUAAUUAUAAGGGUGUUAUAUUACUGUUGUGAUGUCUUUUUUCUUUUUUUUUUAAUCUUUCAGUAUUGUGGGA